UAGAGUUUGAUCAUGGCUCAGAUUGAACGCUGGCGGCAGGCCUAACACAUGCAAGUCGAGCGGUAACAGGAAUUAGCUUGCUAAUUCGCUGACGAGCGGCGGACGGGUGAGUAAUGCCUGGGAAUAUGCCUUAGUGUGGGGGAUAACUAUUGGAAACGAUAGCUAAUACCGCAUAAUGUCUUCGGACCAAAGAGGGGGAUCUUCGGACCUCUCGCGCUAAGAUUAGCCCAGGUGAGAUUAGCUUGUUGGUGAGGUAAGAGCUCACCAAGGCGACGAUCUCUAGCUGGUCUGAGAGGAUGAUCAGCCACACUGGGACUGAGACACGGUCCAGACUCCUACGGGAGGCAGCAGUGGGGAAUAUUGCACAAUGGGCGAAAGCCUGAUGCAGCCAUGCCGCGUGUAUGAAGAAGGCCUUCGGGUUGUAAAGUACUUUCAGUCGUGAGGAAGGGUGUGUAGUUAAUAGCUGCACAUCUUGACGUUAGCGACAGAAGAAGCACCGGCUAACUCCGUGCCAGCAGCCGCGGUAAUACGGAGGGUGCGAGCGUUAAUCGGAAUUACUGGGCGUAAAGCGCAUGCAGGUGGUUCAUUAAGUCAGAUGUGAAAGCCCGGGGCUCAACCUCGGAACCGCAUUUGAAACUGGUGAACUAGAGUGCUGUAGAGGGGGGUAGAAUUUCA
rnacentral:rRNA from 1 species